UCUAAAGUACAUGAACCGUUUAAAAACCCUCACCCACAUCCCCAUUUGCCGCCAAAUCUGAACUCUCAUUCAUUUCAAGUCUCUCUGUGUGUGACGACUGCCCAUCACUCUCUCUCUCUCUCUUUCUCUCUCUCUCUCUCUUCUUGGUGAAUACUCGAUCUCGUUUUAUUAUUUUGAUUUUUGUUUUUGACAGAGCUUGCGAAGGAUUUCCUUUCCAACUUUGCCAAUUCGAAUGGCGAACCAAAUAUAUGCGCAUCCUUCAGGAAGUUGCAAACCGCAAAUUUCGAGCUAUCGAGAUUGAUAUUGAGGACUUGUUCAGUUACACAGAAAUGAAUGAAGAAUCCCGCAAUCGAGUUGAAGUGAACACUCGGGCGUUAUAUUGGUGUAUUUGCAGAUGGUAUUGAUGAGCUCAUGCCGGAGCCCACGGAGACAGAUCAUGAUCAUGACAUUCUGAUGACUCAGAGGUUUGAUGAUGGACCAGAGAAUAUGGAUGGUUCGGAUCCACAUCAGAA